AGAGUUUGAUCCUGGCUCAGAACGAACGCUGGCGGCGUGCUUUAUACAUGCAAGUCGUGCGGGAAAGUGGGGGCAACCCCAUGAGUAAAGCGGCGCACGGGUGAGUAACACGUAAGGAACCUGCCUCUAAAUCCGGGAUAGCUCUACUAACGCGGAAUUAAUACCGGAUGUGAUUUCAGAGUCGCAUGGCUUUGAAAUUAAAGAUGACCUCUCCUUGGAAGUUAUCGUUUAGAGAUGGCCUUGCGGUCCAUUAGCUUGUUGGCGGGGUAACGGCCCACCAAGGCAGUGAUGGAUAGCCGGUCUGAGAGGACGAUCGGCCACAUUGGGACUGAGAUACGGCCCAGACUCCUACGGGAGGCAGCAGUAGGGAAUUUUGCGCAAUGGACGAAAGUCUGACGCAGCAACGCCGCGUGAGGGAUGAAGGUCUUCGGAUUGUAAACCUCUGUUGAUUGGGAAGAAAAGCUUUGCAAAUAAUACGUGCAAAGUCUGACGGUACCAGUCGAGGAAGCUCCGGCUAACUACGUGCCAGCAUCCGCGGUAAUACGUAGGGAGCAAGCGUUGUUCGGAAUCACUGGGCGUAAAGGGAGCGUAGGCGGAAUUGUAAGUUAGAAGUGUAAUCUACAGGCUUAACCUGUAGUUUGCUUUUAAUACUGCUUUUCUUGAGUAUGGGAGAGGAUGAUGGAAUUCCAGGUGUAGCGGUGGAAUGCGUAGAUAUCUGGAAGAACACCAGUUGCGAAGGCGGUCAUCUGGCCCAAUACUGACGCUGAGGCUCGAAAGCUAGGGGAGCAAACAGGAUUAGAUACCCUGGUAGUCCUAGCCGUAAACGAUGGACACUAGUUGUUGGAGGGGUUAUCCCUUCAGUGACGUAGCUAACGCGUUAAGUGUCCCGCCUGGGGAGUACGAUCGCAAGGUUGAAACUCAAAGGAAUUGACGGGGGCCCGCACAAGCGGUGGAGCAUGUGCUUUAAUUCGAUGCAACGCGAAGAACCUUACCUGGGCUUGACAUGGGAGUGAAAGACUGCAGAGAUGUGGUCCCUUCCGCAAGGAACACUCUACACAGGUGCUGCAUGGUUGUCGUCAGCUCGUGUCGUGAGAUGUUGGGUUAAGUCCCGCAACGAGCGCAACCCUCGCCCUUAGUUGCCAUCAGGUUAUGCUGGGAACUCUAAGGGGACUGCCUAGAAUAACUAGGAGGAAGGUGGGGAUGACGUCAAAUCAUCAUGGCCCUUACGUCCAGGGCUAGACACGUGCUACAAUGGCCGGUACAGAGGGAUGCCAAGCCGCAAGGUCGAGCUAAUCCCCAAAAACCGGUCUCAGUUCGGAUUGGAGUCUGCAAUUCGACUCCAUGAAGCUGGAAUCGCUAGUAAUCGCGGAUCAGCAUGCCGCGGUGAAUACGUUCCCGGGCCUUGUACACACCGCCCGUCAAGCCAUGAAAGAUGGUAGUGCCCGAAGUCACUUCUCUAACCCGCAAGGGAAGAGUGUGCCUAAGGUAAGACCGUUAAUUGGGGCUAAGUCGUAACAAGGUA
rnacentral:rRNA from 1 species